CGCGCUUGCGCUGCAUGGGAACUUGCCGGUCGGGCAAGCCCUGGCCCCGGGCGCCCGGGCAGCGGCUUCCUCGGGACCCCAGGCCCUUCGGUACCGAGGGGCUCCGCCGCCCACUUAGCGGUCGCGGAGGGCGAGGGCCGCCGGAAUCCGGCCGGGGACGGCGUGUGUGGCUGCCCACGGGAGGAGGGCAGGGGCCGUGGGAGGGAGAGCCAGGGAGGCUUUGCAGAAAGACCGUCCCUGUUCGCCUUGCCCGGGGUCCCUUUUCUAGCCGGGGUGGACGUGACAGUGUUCUUCAAGAGAUGCUCUCCGCAUAGUAAUAGACCUUGAAGUGCUCGGAAGAACGGCGAUGCUAAAAGCUGGAGUGUUGUAGCCUGCGGCCAGCACUCGGGGAGGCAGGGGCAGGCGGAUCGCUGAGUUCGAGGCCAGCCCGGCCUACACAGUGAGGCCAGGACAGCCAAGGCUGCACAGAGCAACCCUGUCUCGAAAAACAUUUAUAUUCUGGAACGUUGGCACCGUUCUGGGGACUCCCCCAGGUGUGCCCACUCACAGCUAGUCUUGCCACCCCCGCAUCUGUAAGUGGGUUUCCACGCUGAACAUUCACGCUUUACCCUGCCUGACCAAUGACGGCCAGUUCCCUUUCAAGUGCCUCAAACCAACCAAGCACCUCCAGAAGGGUUUGAAAUGUUGUGCAGCAUUAUUCAGCCAAGGCUCCCAGGCUGCAGCUAGAAGACUCUUUCUAAAAGUCAACAUUGAUCGCUUCCCUUCUGUUAAAGGAAGCUGUGGAGAAGAAGAAAGGCUGGGAGAUUAUCAGUCACCACACUAUUCAGACACUGGGGACUCUUUUGAAGACUGGGAACUUUAUUCUACUGGCAAUGAAAAGCUCUUUCUGACUGAUGGUCUUUACCUUCUAGUCUCAGAGACUCCUACCCCAGAAUCCCCAAGCUAUCUGAUUAGACCCUGAUGAUUAGACCUUCAAUACAAGUAAGUUUUCCAGGCCCACGUUAUGCUCCGUGUACAGUCCACUGGAACUUUAACCAAACAGUGGCUUCACCUCGUGGUUAGCAUAAAGCUGGAAGCACGUGAGAAUGUGAAAGAGAUAAGAAGGUUUCUUUCUUGCUUGUAGUACAUGGAAUGAGAACACUGGGGACAGGUCCUAAAGCAAUGCCUCUCUCCAAGUAAAGACAGCGAGGGCUUUCGUCAGAGAAUGGUCACCAAUGUGGAGGUGGGCACGUUACCGGACAUCAUGUUCCUUACAUCACAUGUUCGCAACUGGCAAGUGAGAACAGUGCCUGCAUAUGUGAGAGUAUAAUGAGCUCAGGUGUGGCCGAGCUGUGGCCCAUGGGGCCACCUUCUACAAAAUUGCUUAGUCGCUCUGACUUGGUCCUCUAGAUGAUAUGGUCUUCUAGCUUGCUCAUUAUGAUCUCUUACACUGAUUAAUGCUCCACUUAGGAGAUGUGCUAAUUUUGAACAUAUGCUAUAUGAAGAAGCAUAAUAUUUUAACGUGAUCACGCUCAGGGAUAUGUCCUCCUCUCCAUACGGUGAUGAAUAUAAAGCCCCUUGCUCGCGUUAUUGAGAGAGAUGUUGUAUUAGCAGUUAACCCCAGUGAUUAUUUCUUCUAGUUUAGGGUGGCCCAGGUAUUCUUUGCUUCUGUCAGCAUAACUUUAGCCUCUGCCUGUUUCAUAACAUCAAUGGCCUACUUCCUUGUAUCUUUGUCAGUUUUUUUAUGUAGACAGUGUUAUUGGACUCUAAUAAAGAGUAUCAUCCCAAGA